UGAAGAACGCAGCCAACUGUGUGAAUUAAUGUGAACUGCAUACUGCUUUGACAUCGACAUCUUGAACGCAUAUUGCGGCCAUGGGUUAGCCUGUGGCCACGCCUGUCCGAGGGUCGGCUU
rnacentral:rRNA from 1 species